rnacentral:rRNA from 1 species
UACGAAGGGUGCAAGCGUUAAUCGGAAUUACUGGGCGUAAAGCGUGCGUAGACGGCCUUUUAAGUCUGCUGUGAAAGCCCUGGGCUCAACCUGGGAACUGCAGUGGAUACUGUGAGGCUGGAGCGCGGUAGAGGAUGGUGGAAUUCCCGGUGUAGCGGUGAAAUGCGUAGAUAUCGGGAGGAACAUCAGUGGCGAAGGCGGCCAUCUGGACCAGCUCUGACGUUGAGGCACGAAAGAGUGGGGAGCAAACAGG